rnacentral:rRNA from 1 species
GACGGAGGAUGCAAGUGUUAUCCGGAAUCACUGGGCGUAAAGCGUCUGUAGGUGGUUCGAAAAGUCCACUGUUAAAAAUUGAAGCUUAACUUCAAAGAUGCCGUGGAAACUUUCAAACUAGAGUGUGGUAGGGGUAGAGGGAAUUUCCAGUGGAGCGGUGAAAUGCGUAGAUAUUGGAAAGACCACCGAUGGCGAAGGCACUCUACUGGGCCAUUACUGACACUGAGAGACGAAAGCUAGGGGAGCGAACAGG